rnacentral:rRNA from 1 species
GACGAACGCUGGCGGCGUGCCUCAUACAUGCAAGUCGAGCGGUUGUAGCAAUACAGCAGCGGCGGACGGGUGAGUAACACGUGGGCAACCUGGCCUUAAGAGGGGGAUAACGUUUCGAAAGGAACGCUAAUACCGCGUAACGCAGAGAGAUCACAUGGUCUCAUUGCAAAAGGAGAAAUCCGCUUAAGGAUGGGCCCGCGGCCUAUUAGCUAGUUGGUGAGGGUAACGGCCCACCAAGGCGACGAUAGGUAGCCGACCUGAGAGGGUGAACGGCCACACUGGAACUGAGAACGGUCCAGACUCCUACGGGAGGCAGCAGUAGGGAAUAUUCCGCAAUGGGCGAAAGCCUGACGGAGCAACGCCGCGUGAGUGAAGAAGAUCUUCGGAUUGUAAAGCUCUGUCAACAGGGACGAUAAUGACGGUACCUGUGGAGGAAGCCACGGCAAACUACGUG